AGAGUUUGAUCCUGGCUCAGAAUCAACGCUGGCGGCGUGCCUAAUACAUGCAAGUCGAGCGAAUCAUUGGGAGCUUUCUCCCAUUGGUUAGCGGCGGACGGGUGAGUAACACGUGGGCAACCUGCCUGUAAGACUGGGAUAACUUCGGGAAACCGGAGCUAAUACCAGAUAAUCCUUUUCCUCUCAUGAGGGAGAGCUGA
rnacentral:rRNA from 1 species